CAGCAGCCGCGGUAAUACGGAGGGGGCUAGCGUUGUUCGGAAUUACUGGGCGUAAAGCGCACGUAGGCGGCUUGGUAAGUUAGAGGUGAAAGCCCGGAGCUCAACUCCGGAAUUGCCUUUAAGACUGCCGAGCUAGCAGGUGAGAGAGGUAAGUGGAAUUCCGAGUGUAGAGGUGAAAUUCGUAGAUAUUCGGAAGAACACCAGUGGCGAAGGCGGCUUACUGGCUCAUACUGGACGCUGAGGUGCGAAAGCGUGGGGAGCAAACAGGAUUAGAUACCCGGGUAGUCCUGUCUCUUAUACA
rnacentral:rRNA from 1 species